AACGCAGCGAAAUGCGAUAAGUAAUGUGAAUUGCAGAUUUUCAGUGAAUCAUCGAAUCUUUGAACGCACCUUGCGCUCCUUGGUAUUCCGAGGAGCAUGCCUGUUUGAGUGUCAUUA
rnacentral:rRNA from 1 species